rnacentral:rRNA from 1 species
AGUGAACGCUGGCGGUAGGCCUAACACAUGCAAGCCGAACGGCAGCACAGUAAGAGCUUGCUCUUACGGGUGGCGAGUGGCGGACGGGUGAGGAAUACAUCGGAAUCUACUUUUUCGUGGGGGAUAACGUAGGGAAACUUACGCUAAUACCGCAUACGACCUACGGGUGAAAGCAGGGGAUCUUCGGACCUUGCGCGAUUGAAUGAGCCGAUGCCGGAUUAGCUAGUUGGCGGGGUAAAGGCCCACCAAGGCGACGAUCCGUAGCUGGUCUGAGAGGAUGAUCAGCCACACUGGAACUGAGACACGGUCCAGACUCCUACGGGAGGCAGCAGUGGGGAAUAUUGGACAGUGGGCGCAAGCCUGAUCCAGCCAUACCGCGUGGGUGAAGAAGGCCUUCGGGUUGUAAAGCCCUUUUGUUGGGAAAGAAAAGCAGCAGGUUAAUACCCCGCUGUUCUGACGGUACCCAAAGAAUAAGCACCGGCUAACUUCGU